GACGAACGCUGGCGGCGUGCUUAACACAUGCAAGUCGAACGGAAAGGCCCUGCUUUUGUGGGGUGCUCGAGUGGCGAACGGGUGAGUAACACGUGAGUAACCUGCCCUUGACUUUGGGAUAACUUCAGGAAACUGGGGCUAAUACCGGAUAGGAGCUCCUGCUGCAUGGUGGGGGUUGGAAAGUUUCGGCGGUUGGGGAUGGACUCGCGGCUUAUCAGCUUGUUGGUGGGGUAGUGGCUUACCAAGGCUUUGACGGGUAGCCGGCCUGAGAGGGUGACCGGCCACAUUGGGACUGAGAUACGGCCCAAACUCCUACGGGAGGCAGCAGUGGGGAAUAUUGCACAAUGGGCGGAAGCCUGAUGCAUCAACGCCGCGUGCGGGAUGACGGCCUUCGGGUUGUAAACCGCUUUCGCCUGUGACGAAUCGUGAGUGACGGUAAUGGGUAAAGAAGCACCGGCUAACUACGUGCCAGCAGCCGCGGUGAUACGUAGGGUGCGAGCGUUGUCCGGAUUUAUUGGGCGUAAAGGGCUCGUAGGUGGUUGAUCGCGUCGGAAGUGUAAUCUUGGGGCUUAACCCUGAGCGUGCUUUCGAUACGGGUUGACUUGAGGAAGGUAGGGGAGAAUGGAAUUCCUGGUGGAGCGGUGGAAUGCGCAGAUAUCAGGAGGAACACCAGUGGCGAAGGCGGUUCUCUGGGCCUUUCCUGACGCUGAGGAGCGAAAGCGUGGGGAGCGAACAGGCUUAGAUACCCUGGUAGUCCACGCUGUAAACGGUGGGUACUAGGUGUGGGGUCCAUUCCACGGGUUCCGUGCCGUAGCUAACGCUUUAAGUACCCCGCCUGGGGAGUACGGCCGCAAGGCUAAAACUCAAAGGAAUUGACGGGGCCCCGCACAAGCGGCGGAGCAUGCGGAUUAAUUCGAUGCAACGCGUAGAACCUUACCUGGGUUUGACAUGGAUCGGGAGUGCUCAGAGAUGGGUGUGCCUCUUUUGGGGUCGGUUCACAGGUGGUGCAUGGCUGUCGUCAGCUCGUGUCGUGAGAUGUUGGGUUAAGUCCCGCAACGAGCGCAACCCUUGUUCACUGUUGCCAGCACGUUAUGGUGGGGACUCAGUGGAGACCGCCGGGGUCAACUCGGAGGAAGGUGGGGAUGACGUCAAGUCAUCAUGCCCCUUAUGUCCAGGGCUUCACGCAUGCUACAAUGGCUGGUACAGAGAGUGGCGAGCCUGUGAGGGUGAGCGAAUCUCGGAAAGCCGGUCUCAGUUCGGAUUGGGGUCUGCAACUCGACCUCAUGAAGUCGGAGUCGCUAGUAAUCGCAGAUCAGCAACGCUGCGGAGAAAAAGUUCCCGGGGCU
rnacentral:rRNA from 1 species